rnacentral:rRNA from 1 species
AUGGUUGACCUCGGAUCAGGUAGGACUACCCGCUGAACUUAAGCAUAUC